GGCACGGUACGCAAACUGGCAAAGCGAUCAGGUCGAGAGCCUGGUGUUUGUGGGUUCGACUCCCUCCCGUGCUA
rnacentral:tRNA from 1 species